rfam:Schistosoma rodhaini strain Burundi genome assembly, scaffold: SROB_scaffold0012585
AUCCAAUUGAUGAGUUCCAAAUAGGAUGGAACACAUGUCCUGGAU